rnacentral:rRNA from 1 species
CAGCAGCCGCGGUAAUACCGGCGGCCCGAGUGGCGGCCACUAUUAUUGGGCUUAAAGCGUCCGUAGCCGGGUUGGUUAGUCUCCCGGGAAAUCUGGCCGCUUAACGGUCAGAAUUCCGGGAGAUACUGCCAGCCUAGGGACCGGGAGAGGCCGAGGGUAUUCCCGGAGUAGGGGUGAAAUCCUAUAAUCCCGGGAGGACCACCUGUGGCGAAGGCGCUCGGCUGGAACGGGUCCGACGGUGAGGGACGAAGGCCAGGGGAGCAAGCCGGAUUAGAUACCCGGGUAGUCCUGGCUGUAAACGAUGCGGACUUUGUGUCGGACAAGCUAUGAGCUUGUCCGGUGCCGGAGGGAAACCGUUAAGUCCGCCGCCUGGGGAGUACGGCCGCAAGGCUGAAACUUAAAGGAAUUGGCGGG